rnacentral:tRNA from 1 species
UGGCUUAGCAGGUUAAGAGCACUUGACUGCUCUUCCAGAAGACCUGGGUUCAAUUCCCAG